CGGGGCGUGGCGCAGUUGGUAGCGCGCGUGCUUUGGGAGCAUGAGGUCGCAGGUUCGAAUCCUGUCGCCCCGACCA
rnacentral:tRNA from 2 species